rnacentral:rRNA from 1 species
GAUGAACGCUGGCGGCGUGCCUAAUACAUGCAAGUCGAGCGAACAGACGAGGAGCUUGCUCCCCUGACGUUAGCGGCGGACGGGUGAGUAACACGUGGAUAACCUACCUAUAAGACUGGGAUAACUUCGGGAAACCGGAGCUAAUACCGGAUAAUAUAUUGAACCGCAUGGUUCAAUAGUGAAAGACGGUUUUGCUGUCACUUAUAGAUGGAUCCGCGCCGCAUUAGCUAGUUGGUAAGGUAACGGCUUACCAAGGCAACGAUGCGUAGCCGACCUGAGAGGGUGAUCGGCCACACUGGAACUGAGACACGGUCCAGACUCCUACGGGAGGCAGCAGUAGGGAAUCUUCCGCAAUGGGCGAAAGCCUGACGGAGCAACGCCGCGUGAGUGAUGAAGGCCUUCGGAUCGUAAAACUCUGUUAUUAGGGAAGAACAAAUGUGUAAGUAACUAUGCACGUCUUGACGGUACCUAAUCAGAAAGCCACGGCUAACUACGUG